rnacentral:rRNA from 1 species
UACGUAGGGGGCCAGCGUUGUCCGGAUUUACUGGGCGUAAAGCGCGCGCAGGCGGUGGCGUAUGUGCCGUGUGAAAGCACCAGGCUUACCUUGGUGAGGUCACGGUACACAGCGUUUACUUGAGCCUCGGAGAGGUCGGUGGAAUUCCGGGUGGAGCGGUGAAAUGCGCAGAUAUCAGGAGGAACACCGGUGGCGAAGGCGGGUCUCUGGGCCGUAACUGACGCUGAGGAGCGAAAGCAUGGGGAGCGAACAGG